AUUGAACGCUGGCGGCAGGCCUAACACAUGCAAGUCGAACGGUAGCACAGAGAGCUUGCUCUCGGGUGACGAGUGGCGGACGGGUGAGUAACGUCUGGGAAACUGCCCGAUGGAGGGGGAUAACUACUGGGAACGGUAGCUAAUACCGCAUAACGUCGCAAGACCAAAGUGGGGGACCUUCGGGCCUCACACCAUCGGAUGUUCCCAGAUGGGAUUAGCUAGUAGGUGGGGUAAUGGCUCACCUAGGCGACGAUCCCUAGCUGGUCUGAGAGGAUGACCAGCCACACUGGAACGGAGACACGGUCCGGACUCCUACGGGAGGCAGCAGUGGGGAAUAUUGCACAAUGGGCGCAAGCCUGAUGCAGCCAUGCCGCGUGUAUGAAGAAGGCCUUCGGGUUGUAAAGUACUUUCAGCGGGGAGGAAGGCGGUGAAGUUAAUAGCUUCACCGAUUGACGUUACCCGCAGAAGAAGCACCGGCUAACUACGUGCCAGCCGCCGCCGUAA
rnacentral:rRNA from 1 species